UACAAAUGCGAUGCGAAGUGAAAUACCUUCAUUUAUUGUAAAUAAAACGGUAAUUGCUAAUUUAAUCUUACAAUUUAAAUCAUUGCUGGAUAACCCAUUCUUUUUGAUUUAUUAGACGUUAUAAAUUUGUGGCAGACGUAACUGUGCAUAUGAUAACAUGUAUGAAAGAGUAAAAACGUGCAAAUCAUGUGACGCAUCCAGCUAAUAGAUUAAGUGACAAUGUAGAUGAACCUAACCUCAAAGUUAGUCAAUAAAUGCGCAGUUUUGUUAUAGUGAAGUGUAUUCAAGACUGAUAUAACCUGUAAUACACUAUAGCAUCGAAUACUUCUACAAGUAAAUAAGAUCUAAAAAAAAUAUUAUAAAAACAGAAGAAUCUCUGAAGAACCAUAGUGGAACACUAACGAUAUAUGCAUACAAAUGGAAGAAAUAAUAUCCUACGAGGGAAAGUAUUGUGCAGAGCUCCAGUUUAGUUAUUGAUCCAUGGAAACAGUGGACAAGGCGGACGGGCGCGUGGGCGGGGGCGAGCACUUCCGGUCAAGUCGCGGACGGCGUUCAGUUUCCGUUCGUCCAAUUUGGCCACAUUCAGGCCAAGGAAGGGGGUUAAAAAGCAUUAAAGUUGAUGAUAGCAGCAAAUUCUACUCUUUGAUACAAUCUGUAGUAUCACAACUAUAUUGG